GGGUCAGUAGGUUGGUCGUGCCACCGGUACGUACUGGUCUCACUGAUUCCUCCUUCCUGAAGAACCGUAAUGCCAUUAAUUUGGUGUUGCGGGGAAACAGGACUGUUACUUUGAACAAAUUAGAGUGUUUAAAGCAAACUAACGCUUGAAUACAUUAGCAUGGAAUAAUGAAAUAGGACGAUCGAUCCUAUUUUGUUGGUUUCUAGGAUUGACGUA
rnacentral:rRNA from 1 species